GCCCUCGUAGCUCAGGGGAUAGAGCACCGGCCUCCGGAGCCGGGUGCGCCAGUUCGAAUCUGGCCGAGGGCGCGA
rnacentral:tRNA from 1 species